GCAAAUUUUGUUACACGACAAAGCACCUGCACACAAAGCAAAAUCGGUUGAGGAUACAAUCGAAGUACUUGUCUGGGAGCUGCUACCCCACCCGCCGUAUUCGCCAGACACGCAUUUGCUGAGCUGCACUUCGAUUCCUAAGCAGAAGUCGAAAAUUAGGUGUCUGAUUGGUUUGUUCCAAAAGGAUAACAUUUCUAUGGGUAUGUUAUCCAUAAAUUGCCAGAAAGGUAGACAAAUAGUGUAAAAAGCAGUGGUCAAUACUUAAAUAUUUUUUUUUGCUUUCUCAUUCAAAAUUAUUAUUUCAUUUUCUUAAAAAAAAGAGUAACAACGUUUAAGUUUCCGAAUAUAAUGUAAAUAUUCCUUUGAAAUCGAGCGCUCUUGCAACCAGAAAGGAAUUUCAAAAGAAAAAGGAAUGUCGAAUUGCGUGCCAACGAGCUGUUACGGAAAAGAACUCUAAGCAUGCGAUACGAGCACUAGCGGCACGGACUCCUCAUAUUUUCUCGUCGUCCCUCCGCCUACGAAAACCGGUUUUUUGCGGCAAUAAGAGACCUUGUCUGAACAAGCACAUACAUAGCUCAUGACGAUUGACCAGUUUUACGUCGUCACAAUUCCAGUUUUGUGAACUGAUUUCCCCACGCAUUCAUAAUAAUCAAACUAUCUGUAGGUAAGCUAACCACAACUUGUUGAAAACGGUUCUGUCACUAAAAGCUAUCAUCCAGUUAAGCUACCAGCGGUUAGGGAUAAUAUUAAAUAUUUCCUAGACAUAUAGCGGGAGUAUGAUACUGCACUGUGAAUAAUUCUUCAAAAUAAAAAGACGGAUCACUUUUAAUCAAGUAGAAGUUUUCAUGUUGUUCCUUUUGCGCAUAGUUCUUCAUUAAAUAAAAAAUGAAAAAAAAAUGUUUAAGCGAUUAAGCAAAUUGAAUUUGUCUAAGAAAAUUAUUUGUAUUUUUUACAAACAUUGCUUUUUGAAAAAAUUACUAAUAUCAAAUAUAAGAGGACAUUUUCACUCAUAAUCGUACUGCAUAUAAGCGAAAUCGAUUCGGUUUGUUUAAAGAAUAUAAAUACAUAUGUACCGUGGUCGUGUAAAAAGUAAUAAUAACAAUAACCCUCGAAAUUGAAAAAUCGUCAAAGUUGUAUAUUUUAGUUAUAGGGUAGAACCAAAAAACGUUUAUUGUACAAGAAAAGCUCGACCAUUGAAAAGUACAAAAAGUACAAGUACACUUGGGACAUUUUAUCUCAUAUGUGAUAUGAACUCAACCGAAGGUGCUAACCUUGAUAAUAUUGGGUAUAUGAGAAUAGCACCAAACAAAUAAUCAGAAGUUAUGAUAUUAGUCAUUAUUCAUAUUCAGUGAUAAACCAUCUUAUGCUUGAGAGAUCCACUUUGAGCCGGUUUCCUAAUACUCGGUUAAUAUUGCUCUUGACCUCUGGUAGCUCAACUCGACGAUAGGUUUAACUGACAGACAGUUUAAUUAUUGUUAAUGUGUGUGGAAGACAGUUCACAAAACUUGCAUUGUGAAUACGCAAAAGUUAUAUAAACGUCAUGGGCCAUGUAAAUUAAUUUAAAAAAAAAGAGCAACAAUAAAAGAUAUACUGGGGUGUUGUGGAAUCCAAUACAGAUUUGCUUAGCUGUCAGAAUUGCAAAUUAGUUCUGAUCUUCAAUGGUGUCGCAGAAUCUGAUUGGGGACUGCUACAUGUUUAAUAUGUAUUGACCGCGAUACAGGUUCGCGAUAUUUAUAGGACGUCCUUACAAGACGGAUGUAACCAAUUUACCACUACAUUUGUAAAAUUUCCUUUCGUCCACUACUACAUAUUCGAAACUAACUUUUUGUUUUUAAACGGAAAAUUCUGUUGUAAGAGUAGCAACAUUCAUCAUGCAUAAUUUAUCAAUGCGUAAGAAUGAGAUGCACAAAUAAAUUAAUCAUUUUCCAUCGACAAUGGCCGACAUUAUUUGGAGAAAAUUUUUGACGUAAGCGCUAUUUUUUUGAUAUGCUCGAUAAAUUUUAUAGUAUUUUAUUUUGUUUUGUAGAUUCAAAAGACGUUUACAAAGAAGAUAAGUUUUUGAAUUUUAUGUUUUUCUUAAAGAAUUGAUUAAAUAUAAUUGCAGAGAGAGAAAAACUCUCAAUGUGCUGCCCGAGCUGGAAAUCGAUUGAUAUUUUUCUCAAUGAUGAUUCCAAGGUUGUAUUGCCUUGUAAUUUGCAACGCAUGAUUUAGAACGCGCGAAAGAUUUUCCAUAUCAAUAAGCGCAUGUCCACAGAUCUGUCGCCGCUAUGAGUAAUUAACGACGUACUCAAUUUCUUGCAGGGCUGUGUCAUUGUGGUGGGCAACGUCCAUCUUUCGAAACAGGCCAAUGAGACACUCAACACUUUCCAUUUAGCUGGUGUGUCGUCAAAUAACGUUACACUGUUGCUACGUAUCAAAUUGAAAUAUUCCAAGUGUUAAGCGUAGAGGUAGUGCGCAAAUCGCUUAAGACGGAAAUUAAUGGUAUGCUGUAGAUCUACGGCCUUGCUAUGUAAUAGCAGCUUACUGAUUACAAGUAAGUAAAUUAUAGAACUCUUUUAGAUGUUAUACCUAUAUAAUUGAGGCCAUACAUCGGCAUUAUAUAUAUAUAAUAUAUAACUAGGGUCGCUAGUGGUCGAAAUUCAAGCAAUAAAAAAUACAAUUUAUUAACAACGUUAA